UACGUAGGUGGCAAGCGUUGUCCGGAAUUAUUGGGCGUAAAGCGCGCGCAGGCGGUCCUUUAAGUCUGAUGUGAAAGCCCACGGCUCAACCGUGGAGGGUCAUUGGAAACUGGGGGACUUGAGUGCAGAAGAGGAGAGUGGAAUUCCACGUGUAGCGGUGAAAUGCGUAGAGAUGUGGAGGAACACCAGUGGCGAAGGCGACUCUCUGGUCUGUAACUGACACUGAGGAACGAAAGCGUGGGGAGCGAACAGG
rnacentral:rRNA from 1 species